rnacentral:rRNA from 1 species
CGAGGAUAUAUCCUUCGGGAUAUAAGCCGAGUGGCGGAAGGGGGAGUAAUGCAUAGACAACCUGCCUUUAGGAUAAGAACAACUCUGUGAAAGCGGAGCUAAUACUUGAUAAUACAAAGAAAAGGAUCUUUUUUUUGUCAAAAAAGGGUAUUUAUACCUUUUACCUAGAGAGGGGUUUAUGUCCUAUCAGCUUUUUGGGGGGGUAACGGCCUACCAAGGCGAAGACGGGUAACCGGCCUUAGAGGGUAGUCGGUCACACUGGAACUGAGACACUGUCCAGACUUUUACGGAAGGCUGCAGUCGAGAAUCUUUCGCAAUGCCCGAAAGGGGGACGAAGCGACGCCGCGUGGAUGAAGAAGGCCUUCGGGUUUUAAAAUCCUGUCAGGAGUUAAGAAAUGUAGGGGCGAUAAUACCGUGCUUAUUUGACAAAGGCUCCAAAGGAAGCCACGGCUAACUCUGUGCCAGCAGCCGCGGUAAUACAGAGGGGGCAAGCGUUUUUCGGAAUUAUUGGGCGUAAAGAGCACGUAGGGGGAUUUUUUAGUCAGAUGUGAAAGCCUUUCGUUCAACGGAAGAAUUGCAUCUGAAACUACAAACCUUGAGUAUAGGAGGGGAGAGUGGAACUUUUGGUGGAGCGGGGAAAUGCGUAGAUAUCAGAAGGAACGCCGGCGGCGAAAGCGACUCUCUGGCCUAUAACUGACACUGAGUGUGCGAAAGCUAGGGGAGCAAACGGGAUUAGAUACCCCGGUAGUCCUAGCCGUAAACGAU